AAGUCGUAACAAGGUUUCCGUAGGUGAACCUGCGGAAGGAUCAUUACAAUUCAGUAGCUUGCUACUGUCGGGAGGUGCUGUAAGCCCGCAUAGUUUAAUUACUGAUGAGCGGCAGGCCCUCUGUCUGUACCCUUGUCUUUUGCGCACUCAUGUUUCCUCGGCGGGCUUGCCCGCCGAUUGGACAACACUAUAACCUUUUUAAUUUUCAAUCAGCGUCUGAAAAAACUUAAUAAUUACAA
rnacentral:misc_RNA from 1 species